GUGUGGCAUACAUGGGUUGCAUUAAUGAGCAAUUUAAUGCGGCUAUAAGGCUGUCACAAACAUAAAGAAAUGGUUUCUGCCGACAGGGCCUGUCCAGACAUCGGGCUUCCUGUGCGAUGGUACCAGACAGA